rnacentral:lncRNA from 1 species
AUGAAACCUCCUCCCACACUGUCACUGCUGCCCUCCUACAGUAACACGCAGCCAAGAGGAGGCAGAGGAGGAAGAGGAACCAGAGGAGGAAGAGGAACCGGAGGAGGAAGAGGAGACACCAGAGGAAGAGGAGGAAGAGGAGACAAUGGAGGAAGAGGAGACAGCGGAGGCAACGGAGGAAGAGGAGACAGCGGAGGAAGAGGAGGAAGAGGAGACAGUGGAGGAAGAAGAGGAAGAGGAGGAAGAGGAGACAGCGGAAGAAGAGGAGACCGCAGAGGAAGAGGAGACAGUGGAGGAAGAGGAGGAAGAGGAGACAAUGGAGGAAGAGGAGACAGCGGAGGCAACGGAGGAAGAGGAGACAGCGGAGGAAGAGGAGACAGCGGAGGAAGAGGAGAAAGAGGAGAUGGCGGUGGAAGCGGAGGAAGAGGAGGCGGCGGAGGAAGAGGAGGAAGAGGAGACAGCGGAGGAAGAGGAGACAGCGGAGGAAGAGGAGACAGCGGAGGAAGAGGAGGAAGAGGAGGCGGCGGAGGAGGAGGAAGAGGAGACAGCGAGGAAGAGGAGACAGCGGAGGAAGAGGAGGAAGAGGAGACAGCGGAGGAAGAGGAGGAAGAGGAGACGGCGGAGGAAGAGGAGGAAGAGGAGACAGUGGAGGAAGAAGAGGAAGAGGAGGAAGAGGAGACAGUGGAGGAAGAAGAGGAAGAGGAGGAAGAGGAGACAGCGGAAGAAGAGGAGACCGCAGAGGAAGAGGAGACAGUGGAGGAAGAGGAGGAAGAGGAGACAAUGGAGGAAGAAGAGGAAGAGGAGGAAGAGGAGACAGCGGAAGAAGAGGAGACCGCAGAGGAAGAGGAGACAGUGGAGGAAGAAGAGGAAGAGGAGGAAGAGGAGACAGCGGAAGAAGAGGAGACCGCAGAGGAAGAGGAGACAGUGGAGGAAGAGGAGGAAGAGGAGACAAUGGAAGAAGAGGAGACAGCGGAGGCAACGGAGGAAGAGGAGACAGCGGAGGAAGAGGAGACAGCGGAGGAAGAGGAGAAAGAGGAGAUGGCGGUGGAAGAGGAGGAAGAGGAGGCGGCGGAGGAAGAGGAGGAAGAGGAGACAGCGGAGGAAGAGGAAACAGCGGAGGAAGAGGAGGAAGAGGAGGAAGAGGAGACAGUGGAGGAAGAGGAUGAAGAGGAGACAGCGGAGGAAGACGAGACGGCGGAGGAAGAGGAGGCAGCGGAGGAAGAGGAGACAGCGGAGGAAGAGGAGGAAGAGGAGACAGUGGAGGAAGACGAGACGGCGGAGGAAGAGGAGGAAGAGGAGACAGUGGAGGAAGAGGAGGAAGAGGAGACAGUGGAGGAAGAGGAGGCAGCGGAGGAAGAGGAGGAAGAGGAGACAGCGGAGGAAGAGGAGACAGCGGAGGAAGAGGAGAAAGAGGAGAUGGCGGUGGAAGAGGAGGAAGAGGAGGCGGCGGAGGAAGAGGAGGAAGAGGAGACAGCGGAGGAAGAGGAGACAGCGGAGGAAGAGGAGGCGGCGGAGGAAGAGGAGGAAGAGGAGACAGCGAGGAAGAGGAGGAAGAGGAGACAGCGGAGGAAGAGGAGGAAGAGGAGGCGGCGGAGGAAGAGGAGGAAGAGGAGACGGCGGAGGAAGAGGAGGAAGAGGAGGCGGCGGAGGAAGAGGAGGAAGAGGAGACAGCGGAGGAAGAGGAGGAAGAGGAGACAGCGAGGAAGAGGAGGAAGAGGAGGAAGAGGAGGCGGCAGGCCAACCAGCGAGCAGUGA